UUGUCCGGAAUCACUGGGCGUAAAGCGUGCGUAGGCUGUUCGAUAAGUCGUGUGUGAAAGGCGCGGGCUCAACCCGCGGACGGCACAUGAUACUGCGAGACUAGAGUAAUGGAGGGGGAACCGGAAUUCUCGGUGUAGCAGUGAAAUGCGUAGAUAUCGAGAGGAACACUCGUGGCGAAGGCGGGUUCCUGGACAUUAACUGACGCUGAGGCACGAAGGCCAGGGGAGCGAAAGGGAUUAGAUACCCUGGUAGUCCUGGCAGUAAACGGUGCACGCUGGUUGUCGGCGAAUCGACCCCUGCGUGCCGGAGCUAACGCGUUAAGCGUGCCGCCUGGGGAGUACGGUCGCAAGAUUAAAACUCAAAGAAAUUGACGGGGACCCGCACAAGCGGUGGAGUAUGUGGCUUAAUUC
rnacentral:rRNA from 1 species